rnacentral:rRNA from 1 species
UACGUAGGCAGCAAGCGUUGUUCGGAAUUACUGGGCGUAAAGAGUGUGUAGGCGGUGUACUAAGUUUGUCGUGAAAUCUCCCGGCUUAACUGGGAGGGUGCGGCGAAAACUGGAAUGCUAGAGGAUGGGAGAGGUAAGCGGAAUUCCUGGUGUAGCGGUGAAAUGCGUAGAUAUCAGGAGGAACACCUGUGGUGUAGACAGCUUACUGGACCAUUUCUGACGCUGAGACACGAAAGCGUGGGUAGCAAACAGG